GUCAACCGUUCACGCGCCAUUUCGUUUCGGCAAAGUUCUACAGAAAUUUUACUUUGGUUGAGUGUUAUCUACCUCGUUGCGAAAUUUAAUUGUGUCUAAAGCCCUGGCGAAGAAUAAUGAUCUCGAGAAUUAGGAUUUUACAAGCCAAGUUCUUUGCAAAAUCACUAAUGUUACUGUCGCUUAAAAUACAGAAAAUGACGCAGUCGGUAAGUAACAUGAGUUUACAGCACACCAGAGAAGAUAAAUCGCGUUUUGCUUUUCUUGUGAAAGAACACUACGAUUACACAUUCAAGGUUGCGAUAUCCUUGUUUUAUUCUGUCACGUGAAGUGGCCUCAGGUGAAUAGUUUACACAUCUAAGCACAUAGAAAGCACACGUAUGAUUGUGCACGACACUCGCUUCAUAACUCAAGGAACACAUUGGUCUUGGUAGUUUAAGUAUCUUGAGAAGAUUUCCAAAAAAGCAACUAGUGCACGACUGCAACUGAAGCAAAUGAAGGCAAAUCAUCCCGAAGGAGAACUGGAGAAAUAGGAUCACCUGUAAAAAUGAUUUUAUCCUGAAUAAAGUAGACUUUGAGUCCCAUCUUAAUGCUACAAGCACAGAAUGGGAUAGAAGAGUGGCAACUCCUGAUUGUAAAAAGGAGCCAUAAAUCAGAAAUUUGGUGAUGCCCAAAUGAAUAAGAGGUGGUCUCAAAUAAGGCUCUACUUGAAUAAAAAAAAUUGCUUGGAUUCCAAGAGAAAAGUUCACAAUGUAGAGGGCAAUGUUGAAUGAACUAAAGCUUGGUUGAUAUUUGUACAAAAUUGAAAUAUUUGCAAAUUUGCUUGUCAAGUAGCUGUCAAAUUGACUAAAAUGCCAACUGAGAUGAGUGUUGUGAGCUUUAAUUCUUUGAACACGUUUGCUGCAAUACAAAAUUUUGUU